rnacentral:tRNA from 1 species
UGUAGUUCAGUGGUAGAGCACUUACCUAUUAUGCCCGAAGUCCUGGGUUCAAUUCCCAGUACAG